rnacentral:lncRNA from 1 species
CUUCCUGUAGCACACGCAGAUCAGAAAAACUCAAAUCAGACAUGCUGCAUCCACAAAAGUACAGUUCAUCAUCUGGCCAGUCAGCUGUGACUUCAUCCCUACAGUUAGGACCUAGUGUUGAAUCUGGGAGCCAAUGCACUAUGAUGGUAAACCCUGAGGAAUCUUCAGCUGUUUGCGUUGAAGGUAUUGCUGCAACCAUUGAAGGUACGAAAAGUUCUAGUCCAUCCCUACAGUUAAGACCUGGUGUUGGAUCUGGGAGCCAAUCCACUAUGAUGGUAAACCUUGAGGAUUCUUCAGCUGUUUGUGGUGAAGGUAUAGAUGCAACCAUUGAAGUUACGAAAAGUUCUAGUCCAGACCGGCUUGAGCGUAAGAGAAAACACAGUUCAGA